UACGUAGGGUGCGAGCGUUGUCCGGAAUUACUGGGCGUAAAGAGCUCGUAGGUGGUUUGUCGCGUUGUUCGUGAAAUCUCACGGCUUAACUGUGAGCGUGCGGGCGAUACGGGCAGACUGGAGUACUGCAGGGGGAGACUGGAAUUCCUGGUGUAGCGGUGGAAUGCGCAGAUAUCAGGAGGAACACCGGUGGCGAAGGGCGGGGUCUCUGGGCAGUAACUGACGCUGAGGAGCGAAAGCGUGGGGGAGCGAACAGGG
rnacentral:rRNA from 1 species